AAUUCUAUCAUUUUGGCUGCAU
rnacentral:miRNA from 1 species